CUUUGGUGUAUUGCGAUAACAUC
rnacentral:siRNA from 1 species